rnacentral:ncRNA from 1 species
UUAUAUAUAUAAUUAAUAUUAAUUAACCUUGUCAAAAUUGGUAUGGACAAGUGAAAUCUGAUUGUUUAAUUAAAACAAAUCAUUGUGAGGGUCCUUGCAGAUGCUAACACAAUGUGAUUUAUGCCUAGUGCUCUGCAUGUCAAAGUGAAUAAAUUCAACCAAGUGCGGGUAAACGAUGGGAGUAACUAUGAAUCUCUUAAGGUAGUCAUAUGCCUCUGCAUCAUCUAACUAGUGACGUGCAUGAAUGGAUUAAUGAGAUUCCAAUUGUCCUAGGCUACUAUCUAGAGAAACCACAACCAAAGGAAUGAUCUUGGCAUAAUUAGAGGGGAAAGAAGACCAUUUUCAGCUUGAAUCUAGUCUGACUUUGUGAAAUGACUUGAGAGGUGUAGAAUAAGUGGGUGUUGUUUUUCAGUGCAAGUGAAAUGCUACUAAUUUUAACGUUAUUUUACUUAUUUUGUGAAGCAAAUAUGAGGAAUUGCACAUAUGUUAAAAGAUAAUGCACAUUUCCUCAAAGUGUUUUCAUUGAUGGAAAUGGUUGAAAGCUAAUUAUUCACACACUUGAUCGCAAUGAGUUUAGGAAACUAAAGAGGAUCAUUGUUUUUAAGGAUGAAGAAAGUUCCUACAAUCCCUAUGUUUUUAGCCAACAUCCCCCU